GGGACAGCUCUGGGAUGGUGGGGCAAGGGCACACACUGGAGACGCCAGCAAGGCAGAAGGCUCCCAGGCGAGCCGCCAAGGCCCGCGGGCGGCGAGGGUCGCGGCCGGCCCGCGAGCUGGGGGAGGUGAGGCCUGAGUGACAGGGUGCGGGGCCAGGACGGGCAGGCGGAGGGUAAGGGGACGGGGCGCGGCGGCCGCGAUACUCACACCUCCAGGAUGCGGUCCCCCUUGCGCACCCCGGCCCGGUCGGCCGCCCCCCCGGGCAGCACGGCGCUCACAUGCUGCAGCGGCGCGUACAGCUCCCCGUUGAUGCUCCGCAGUUGCCCGCCCUCGCUCACUUGGCCCCGCACGUUGAAGCCGUAGCCGGACUCGGACUUGACGAUGCGCACGACCCGCGGGCCGCCGCCUCCCCCGCCGCCGUUGCCGGCGCAGUGGAGCCCAGACCCCCCGCCGCCGCCUCCAUUCCGCUUUGUGCUGCUCUGAAGUCUCUUCGUCCAAGGCCUAGCUGAAGUCUCCCUCCAGUGUCCCUGAAGACUCCAGCUAUACCUGACAUUUCCCUUUCGAAAUUCCUGAGGCUAAUACAGUUCCAGACGACCCCUAGUGAGUCAUGCUCUUGUGUAACCCCCCUCCCUUGAAGAUGUGAGCUCUCAGCUAUUGCACCAGUGC